CAGUAGCCGCGGUAAUACGAAGGGUGCAAGCGUUACUCGGAAUUACUGGGCGUAAAGCGUGCGUAGGUGGUGGUUUAAGUCUGUUGUGAAAGCCCCGGGCUCAACCUGGGAAUGGCAAUGGAUACUGGCGAGCUAGAGUGUGUCAGAGGAUGGUGGAAUUCCCGGUGUAGCGGUGAAAUGCGUAGAGAUCGGGAGGAACAUCAGUGGCGAAGGCGGCCAUCUGGGACAACACUGACGCUGAGGCACGAAAGCGUGGGGAGCAAACAGGAUUAGAUACCCGAGUAGUCCCUGUCUCUUAUAC
rnacentral:rRNA from 1 species